rnacentral:rRNA from 1 species
AGUGAACGCUGGCGGUAGGCCUAACACAUGCAAGUCGAACGGCAGCACAGUAAGAGCUUGCUCUUACGGGUGGCGAGUGGCGGACGGGUGAGGAAUACAUCGGAAUCUACUUUUUCGUGGGGGAUAACGUAGGGAAACUUACGCUAAUACCGCAUACGACCUACGGGUGAAAGCAGGGGAUCUUCGGACCUUGCGCGAUUGAAUGAGCCGAUGUCGGAUUAGCUAGUUGGCGGGGUAAAGGCCCACCAAGGCGACGAUCCGUAGCUGGUCUGAGAGGAUGAUCAGCCACACUGGAACUGAGACACGGUCCAGACUCCUACGGGAGGCAGCAGUGGGGAAUAUUUGACAAUGGGCGGAAGCCUGAUCCAGCCAUACCGCGUGGGUGAAGAAGGCCUUCGGGUUGUAAAGCCCUUUUGUUGGGAAAGAAAAGCAGCAGGUUAAUACCCCGCUGUUCUGACGGUACCCAAAGAAUAAGCACCGGCUAACUUCGUG